AGAGAGCGGCGUACGGGUGCGUAACACGUGUGCAACUUACCUUUAUCUGGGGAAUAGCCUUUCGAAAGGGAGAUUAAUACCCCAUAAUAUAUUAGAUGGCAUCAUUUGAUAUUGAAAACUCCGGUGGAUAGAGAUGGGCACGCGCAAGAUUAGAUAGUUGGUGAGGUAACGGCUCGCCAAGUCAAUGAUCUUUAGGGGUCCUGAGAGGGAGAUCCCCCACACUGGUACUGAGACACGGACCAGACUCCUACGGGAGGCAGCAGUGAGGAAUAUUGGACAAUGGGUGAAAGCCUGAUCCAGCCUCCCGCGUG
rnacentral:rRNA from 1 species